GGGUUGUGAGGUUAAGCGACUAAGCGUACACGGUGGAUGCCUAGGCAGUCAGAGGCGAUGAAGGGCGUGCUAAUCUGCGAAAAGCGUCGGUAAGCUGAUAUGAAGCGUAAUAACCGACGAUACCCGAAUGGGGAAACCCAGUGCAAUUCGUUGCACUAUUGCAUGGUGAAUACAUAGCCAUGCAAGGCGAACCGGGGGAACUGAAACAUCUAAGUACCCCGAGGAAAAGAAAUCAACCGAGAUUCCCCCAGUAGCGGCGAGCGAACGGGGAAGAGCCCAGAGUCUGAAUCAGUUGGUGUGUUAGUGGAAGCGUCUGGAAAGUCGCACGGUACAGGGUGAUAGUCCCGUACACAAAAACACACUGGCUGUGAACUCGAUGAGUAGGGCGGGACACGUGACAUCCUGUCUGAAUAUGGGGGGACCAUCCUCCAAGGCUAAAUACUCCUGACUGACCGAUAGUGAACCAGUACCGUGAGGGAAAGGCGAAAAGAACCCCGGCGAGGGGAGUGAAAUAGAACCUGAAACCGUGUACGUACAAGCAGUGGGAGCACCUUCGUGGUGUGACUGCGUACCUUUUGUAUAAUGGGUCAGCGACUUAUAUUUUGUAGCAAGGUUAACCGAAUAGGGGAGCCGUAGGGAAACCGAGUCUUAACUGGGCGUCUAGUUGCAAGGUAUAGACCCGAAACCCGGUGAUCUAGCCAUGGGCAGGUUGAAGGUUGGGUAACACUAACUGGAGGACCGAACCGACUAAUGUUGAAAAAUUAGCGGAUGACUUGUGGCUGGGGGUGAAAGGCCAAUCAAACCGGGAGAUAGCUGGUUCUCCCCGAAAGCUAUUUAGGUAGCGCCUCGUGAACUCAUCUUCGGGGGUAGAGCACUGUUUCGGCUAGGGGUCCAUCCCGGAUUACCAAACCGAUGCAAACUCCGAAUACCGAAGAAUGUUAUCACGGGAGACACACGGCGGGUGCUAACGUCCGUCGUGAAG
rnacentral:rRNA from 1 species